UCAAAUAAUAUAAAAAAUAAUAUAUAUAUUGACAUGGAUUAAACAAAGAUAUAUAUUAUUCUAUGUUGUAUAAACAAAUUGGCAAAAUAGAGAUGGAAGAUAAAAAUAUGGUCAAAGUAAUAAGAGUCUAUGGUGAAUGCCUAGGAGCUUUAAGGCGAAGAAGGUCGUGGUAAGCUGCGAAAAGCUUGGGGGAAAAGCAAACAUUUAUUGAUCCCAAGAUUACCGAAUGGARUAAUCCAGCUAGCAAGAUGCUAGCUAUCUAUUAUCUAAAUAAUAGAGGCGAUACC
rnacentral:misc_RNA from 1 species